rnacentral:rRNA from 1 species
GACAGAGGAUGCAAGCGUUAUCCGGAAUUAUUGGGCGUAAAGAGCUCGUAGGCGGUUUGUCGCGUCUGCUGUGAAAUCCGGAGGCUCAACCUCCGGCCUGCAGUGGGUACGGGCAGACUAGAGUGCGGUAGGGGAGACUGGAAUUCCUGGUGUAGCGGUGAAAUGCGCAGAUAUCAGGAGGAACACCGGUGGCGAAGGCGGGUCUCUGGGCCGUAACUGACGCUGAGGAGCGAAAGCGUGGGGAGCGAACAGG